rnacentral:rRNA from 1 species
GGCUUGCGCAGCUUAACAUGCAGUCGAACGGUAACAGGGAGCUUGCUCCGCUGACGAGUGGCGAACGGGUGAGUAAUACAUCGGAACGUGCCCAGUAAUGGGGGAUAGCUCGGCGAAAGCCGGAUUAAUACCGCAUACGCCCUGAGGGGGAAAGUGGGGGACCGCAAGGCCUCACGUUAUUGGAGCGGCCGAUGGCUGAUUAGCUAGUUGGUAGGGUAAAGGCCUACCAAGGCGACGAUCAGUAGCUGGUCUGAGAGGACGAUCAGCCACACUGGGACUGAGACACGGCCCAGACUCCUACGGGAGGCAGCAGUGGGGAAUUUUGGACAAUGGGGGAAACCCUGAUCCAGCAAUGCCGCGUGUGCGAAGAAGGCCUUCGGGUUGUAAAGCACUUUUGUCAGGGAAGAAAUCCUUUGGGCUAAUACCCUAGGGGGAUGACGGUACCUGAAGAAUAAGCACCGGCUAACUACGUGCCAGCAGCCGCGGUAAUACGUAGGGUGCAAGCGUUAAUCGGAAUUACUGGGCGUAAAGCGUGCGCAGGCGGUUGUGUAAGACAGGUGUGAAAUCCCCGGGCUUAACCUGGGAAUUGCAUUUGUGACUGCACGACUAG